rnacentral:rRNA from 1 species
GAUGAACGCUAGCUACAGGCUUAACACAUGCAAGUCGAGGGGCAGCAUGAGGUCAGCUUGCUGACUUUGAUGGCGACCGGCGCACGGGUGAGUAACGCGUAUCCAACCUGCCCAUAACUAAGGGAUAAUCCGUAGAAAUGCGGUCUAAUACCUUAUGUUGUCCGAGGAAGACAUCUGAUUCGGACGAAAGAUUUAUCGGUUAUGGAUGGGGAUGCGUCUGAUUAGCUUGUUGGCGGGUAACGGCCCACCAAGGCGACGAUCAGUAGGGGUUCUGAGAGGAAGGUCCCCCACAUUGGAACUGAGACACGGUCCAAACUCCUACGGGAGGCAGCAGUGAGGAAUAUUGGUCAAUGGACGAGAGUCUGAACCAGCCAAGUAGCGUGAAGGAUGAAGGUCCUACGGAUUGUAAACUUCUUUUAUAAGGGAAUAAACCCUCCCACGUGUGGGAGCUUGUAUGUACCUUAUGAAUAAGCAUCGGCUAACUCCGUG